rnacentral:rRNA from 1 species
UGGGGAAUAUUGGACAAUGGGCGCAAGCCUGAUCCAGCCAUGCCGCGUGAGUGAUGAAGGCCCUAGGGUUGUAAAGCUCUUUCACCGGUGAAGAUAAUGACGGUAACCGGAGAAGAAGCCCCGGCUAACUUCGUGCCAGCAGCCGCGGUAAUACGAAGGGGGCUAGCGUUGUUCGGAUUUACUGGGCGUAAAGCGCACGUAGGCGGACUAUUAAGUCAGGGGUGAAAUCCCGGGGCUCAACCCCGGAACUGCCUUUGAUACUGGUAGUCUUGAGUUCGAGAGAGGUGAGUGGAAUUCCAAGUGUAGAGGUGAAAUUCGUAGAUAUUCGGAGGAACACCAGUGGCGAAGGCGGCUCACUGGCUCGAUACUGACGCUGAGGUGCGAAAGCGUGGGGAGCAAACAGG